UAUCACUUAGCGGCGGACGGGUGAGUAAUGCUUAGGAAUCUGCCUAUUAGUGGGGGACAACAUUUCGAAAGGAAUGCUAAUACCGCAUACGCCCUACGGGGGAAAGCAGGGGACCUUCGGGCCUUGCGCUAAUAGAUGAGCCUAAGUCAGAUUAGCUAGUUGGUGGGGUAAAGGCCUACCAAGGCGACGAUCUGUAGCGGGUCUGAGAGGAUGAUCCGCCACACUGGGACUGAGACACGGCCCAGACUCCUACGGGAGGCAGCAGUGGGGAAUAUUGGACAAUGGGGGAAACCCUGAUCCAGCCAUGCCGCGUGUGUGAAGAAGGCCUUUUGGUUGUAAAGCACUUUAAGCGAGGAGGAGGCUACUUAGAUUAAUACUCUAGGAUAGUGGACGUUACUCGCAGAAUAAGCACCGGCUAACUCUGUGCCAGCAGCCGCGGUAAUACAGAGGGUGCGAGCGUUAAUCGGAUUUACUGGGCGUAAAGCGUGCGUAGGUGGUCUUUUAAGUCGGAUGUGAAAUCCCUGAGCUUAACUUAGGA
rnacentral:rRNA from 1 species